UGCAGUGGAAAGGGCAAGGAACUUUCAGCAGCGAAGCACAGAAGGACUUGCCAUUUACUUUUACUUCUUCAUGAUGAAAAAUUCUUAAUCUCUGAGGUGUGUCCUUUUCUGGAAAUCAGAUCAAUAAGCAACAUUGACCAGUGUCAGCAUAAGCCUGAGUGGAACUUUCCAGCUGGACUCCCAAGCAUCAGUUGAAGGUGGAUUGCCAUCACCAUGUAUUCCAUACCACAGCAAACAACUAAGAGGAAUAUGGAGAAUAAUAUAUAGCAGAAGGAGAACGGGAUCAUAUUUUAUCACUUGCCUUUCUAUCCCACCCUUCCUCCCAAUGGAGCUCAGGGCAAUAGCAAAUCUGUCUCACCAUUAGGAAGAAGAGCAUGGUUUCUCCAAUCUCGAUAACUCUCCAACAAGCUGCAUAGACAACAGGAACUCACCAAGUGGGAGUCUCACAAAGCAAAAAGUUUGCUUCCAGAAACCAUCCAGAAUGAACAAAGAAAUAGGUCAAAGCACUCAACACUCCUUCAGCCUCAUCCUUUGACAUAUAAACUGAGACUGAAGCUGCAAGCAAUCUGUGUCCAUCAAAUAGGAAAGUGGCUUUUGGUUGUGCAAAGGUACCUAUUAAGCUCCUCAUACCUACCUGUUUCCCUUGCAACGUCUUAUCCACCCUUAUGCAGAGGGAACAUUGGGACCCAAGUUUCAACUGUAAUCAAGUAGACACGGUGGGCAGGGAGAAUGCCAGGGCCUCCAAAAUAGUGUGUGAUACCAUCAGCCCCACAUCUUCAAAAAAGGAGACGUGUGGUGGGGGAAACUUGGGUGCGACAAUAGAACAGCAAAAGAACAAGAACAAGGCUAUAUCCGACAGUGAGGAAGAACAAGCGGAGGGACCAAAAGGAAUACCGCAGAUGAAUAUAGAAUUUAAGAUACGCCUCUAAGCACCAAAGGAGGAGGAGGUGGAGUCCAAUAAAGUAGUUUUCCACUGGAGAGCACUUAAGAGUCUCUCAGACCUGUCUCUGGCUGCGCAGUCUGGGCGUGGAAUGCAGCUGUAGGCGUCAGUCUCAGUCAUUCUUUGGCUACAGAACUGCUGCUGGAGGAACACUGUGUGAGGGCAGAAGGCGGUGGCUACUCUCUGUCUCUUCUACUUGCUUCUCUGGGUGGCUCUUCUUAACCUCCCCACCCCUCAUGUAGCUUUCUCGGUCUCUCUUUCCUCCUUCAACUCUUCCCUUCCAAAUGUCUGGGAGUGGGGACCCUCUGAACCUCCUCAGAACUCUUUCCCAGUCUCCUUAGGCAGAACACUUCCAGGUGCUCCUCAAAGAAACUUUUCCAUCCCAAAAGUGCCCAAAAGGGCUGUGGUCCAGACAUUCCCCAGAGGCUACUCUGCAAGGGGCUGAACUGCAUAGAGCUACACCUCUCCUAGAAGGCUUAGAGGGUCACAACCUGAUCCGAGGCGAGUUGCAGCAGCAGUACUACCACCAUACAAAUAUUAGAAAUAAAUCAAGAAACUAGCCCCCAAAAACAUGUUCAGAUUUGAAGUGGGUCCCAGGUCUGAAAAGGUUGAGGAUUACUGACAUAGAAGCCAUCAGUCAAGAAGCUAGACAAGAACUUUAUUGUCUCACUCCAACAGCAACAGAAAACUCCUAACAACACCCAGGUGCAUCA